AUGAGCUCCUUCGCCGGUGCGGCCGUCCUGCCGCGCGGCUCGGCUGGACGCUUCAGCGCCCAGUCUCUGUCAGCGCUGGGCCGACGCGCUCUCGUCGUCAGGGCACAGACCGAGGGCCCCAGCGCACCACCGCCAAACAAACCCAAGGUGAGCACCUCGAUCUGGGACGCGCUGGCGUUCGCCGGCCCCGCGCCGGAGCGCAUCAACGGGCGGCUGGCCAUGGUGGGUUUUGUGACUGCGCUCGCCGUGGAAGCAGGCCGUGGCGACGGGCUCCUCUCGCAGCUCGGCAGCGGCACCGGGCAGGCGUGGUUCGCCUACUCCGUGGCGGUGCUAGCCGGCGCCAUCAUGAACGCCAACGCGGAGCUCUGGAACGGCCGCUUCGCCAUGCUCGGCCUCGUCGCGCUCGCCGCCACCGAGAUCAUCACUGGCGCGCCCUUCAUCAACCCACUCGCCCCGCUGGCUCACCCGCCCCGCCCGGCCGUCCCGCUCGCCGCCGCCACCUCUCCUCUCCCGCGCCCCGCCGCCUCGCCCGGCCGCCCCGCUCGCCGCGGCCUCCUCUCCUCCCCCGCGCCCCCCUUCUCCCACCUCGCCGCCGCCUCCUCUCCCCUCCCGCCCCCCCCCUCGCCCUGCCCGUUCAAGCUAAAGGUCGAGGGGCGCGCCGGGUCCGGGCGAGGCGGCUCGAUGGUGAGCGCGAUGGAUCUCGAGCUAGCUCGGGCAUGUGGACGCGUUGGUGAGGGCGCCAGCGGCCGUGGCGAGCUCGAGCCCGGUAUAGCGUCAUGGUCGCCAUGGACGCCGGCGCUGCACCUGCGCUGCCGGUUGGUCCUCCCCGACACCGUCUGGGCCCUCCUGCACUGCAUCACCCUCCUACCGCGCCUACUAGACCUACAGGUCCCUCUCCCCAUUCUCCUCCCUAAAGCUAGAGAUUUCAGGUCGCUUGGGCGUGGAAUAGAAAACCCGAUGGGAAGUGCUCAUAUCCAUUGUGCCAUUGGAAUGAUUUGGAUUCUGCUGUUGUCACCAGCCCGAGGAGAAGAAGACUCUAGAAGGCAAGCAAGCAAGAACUCGCACCAUAGCAUGCUCGCCACCGUCCUCGGCAGUAUACAGUUGGCCGAGGAGGGCAUCCUCUACAGCUACGGGCAUGACUUCUCCGGCUUCGCGGCCAUGCUCACCAACGCACAUGCGGCGCCACUCUCAGAUGCCAAUGUGACGACAGGAGCAAGGCGUUUAGCAAGGCAACCGGAGGAAGACCAACGAUGUCACCUCAGAGCGUACACAAGGUGUCACCGCUGUGGAGCCGUCGCCGGUGACGGCGCGUCCAUCCGCUCCGGUUUUGAUUGGCAACUUCCUCCACUGGUGUGUGGUAUUACACUGGAUGUACCACGGGUGCAACUAGCCGUCGGCGACGAGCUGACUACUCCUGCAUCGACCCCAAGCUCUGGAACCUAUGCAUCGAUGGAAACAAGACUAUAUUGUGUAUAUCAAAAGUUCAGUAUCAUGUAG
rnacentral:rRNA from 1 species